CAGUCGCCGCGGUAAUACAGAGGGUGCGAGCGUUAAUCGGAUUUACUGGGCGUAAAGCGUGCGUAGGCGGCUUCUUAAGUCGGAUGUGAAAUCCCUGAGCUUAACUUAGGAAUUGCAUUCGAUACUGGGAAGCUAGAGUAUGGGAGAGGAUGGUAGAAUUCCAGGUGUAGCGGCGAAAUGCGUAGAGAUCUGGAGGAAUACCGAUGGCGAAGGCAGCCAUCUGGCCUAAUACUGACGCUGAGGUACGAAAGCAUGGGGAGCAAACAGGAUUAGAUACCCCUGUAGUCCCUGUCUCUUAUAC
rnacentral:rRNA from 1 species